UGGCUCAGAUUGAACGCUGGCGGCAUGCUUUACACAUGCAAGUCGAACGGUAACAGGUCUUCGGAUGCUGACGAGUGGCGAACGGGUGAGUAAUGUAUCGGAACGUGCCCAGUAGUGGGGGAUAACUACUCGAAAGAGUGGCUAAUACCGCAUGAGAACUGAGGUUGAAAGCGGGGGACCUUCGGGCCUCGCGCUACUGGAGCGGCCGAUAUCAGAUUAGGUAGUUGGUGGGGGUAAAAGCCUACCAAGCCUGCGAUCUGUAGCUGGUCUGAGAGGACGACCAGCCACACUGGAACUGAGACACGGUCCAGACUCCUACGGGAGGCAGCAGUGGGGAAUUUUGGACAAUGGGCGAAAGCCUGAUCCAGCAAUGCCGCGUGCAGGACGAAGGCCUUCGGGUUGUAAACUGCUUUUGUACGGAACGAAAAGGUAGCUCCUAAUACGAGCUACCGAUGACGGUACCGUAAGAAUAAGCACCGGCUAACUACGUG
rnacentral:rRNA from 1 species